rnacentral:rRNA from 1 species
GGCCCCUUCGGGGGUACUUCAGUGGCGCACGGGUGAGUAACGCGUGGGAACCUGCCCUUCGGUACGGAAUAACUGCGGGAAACUGCAGCUAAUACCGUAUACGCCCUACGGGGGAAAGAUUCAUCGCCGAAGGAUGGUCCCGCGCCCGAUUAGCUUGUUGGUGAGGUAACGGCUCACCAAGGCGACGAUGGGUAGCUGGUCUGAGAGGAUGAUCAGCCACACGGGCACUGAGACACGGGCCCGACUCCUACGGGAGGCAGCAGUAAGGAAUAUUGGUCAAUGGGGGCAACCCUGAACCAGCCAUGCCGCGUGCAGGAAGACGGUCCUAUGGAUUGUAAACUGCUUUUAUCAGGGGCUAAUCCUGUGCUAUACGCACAGUUGAAGGUACCUGAAGAAUAAGCACCGGCUAACUACGUGCCAGCAGCCGCGGUAAUACGUAGGGUGCAAGCGUUGUCCGGAUUUAUUGGGUUUAAAGGGUGCGCAGGCGGUCUAUUAAGUUAGUGGUGAAAUCGUACAGCUCAACUGUAUACCCGCCAUUGAUACUGGUAGACUUGAGUACAAUAGAGGAAGCUGGAAUGCGUGGUGUAGCGGUGAAAUGCAUAGAGAUCACGCAGAACACCGAUUGCGAAGGCAGGCUUCUAUGUUGUAACUGACGCUGAGGCACGAAAGCGUGGGUAGCGAACAGGAUUAGAUACCCUGGUAGUCCACGCUGUAAACGAUGAUCACUAGGUGUUCGGAUUUCGGUCUGAGUGCCCAAGCGAAAGCGAUAAGUGAUCCACCUGGGGAGUACGUUCGCAAGAAUGAAACUCAAAGGAAUUG